rnacentral:rRNA from 1 species
GGCUCAGGAUGAACGCUGGCGGCGUCGCUUAACACAUGCAAGUCGAGCGAAGCACUUACUUUUGAUUCUUCGGAAUGACGAGGUCUGUGACUUAGCGGCGGACGGGUGAGUAACGCGUGGGCAACCUGCCUCACAACAGGGGGAUAACAGUUAGAAAUGACUGCUAAUACCGCAUAAGACCCCGGCACCGCAUGGUGCAGGGGUAAAAACUCCGGUGGUGUGAGAUGGGGCCCGCGUCUGAUUAGGUAGUUGGUGCGGUAACGGCGCACCAAGCCGACGAUCAGUAGCCGACCUGAGAGGGCGACCGGCCACAUUGGGACUGAGACACGGCCCAAACUCCUACGGGAGGCAGCAGUGGGGAAUAUUGCACAAUGGGGGGAAACCCUGAUGCAGCGACGCCGCGUGAAGGAUGAAGUAUUUCGGUAUGUAAACUUCUAUCAGCAGGGAAGAAAAUGACGGUACCUGACUAAGAAGCCCCGGCUAACUACGUGCC